ACAUGACGGCAUACCACCCUGAACGCACCCGAUCUCAUCUGAUCUCGGAAGCUAAGCAGGGUCGGGCCUGGUUAGUACUUGGAUAGCCCGAUGAUUUUUAAGCAUGUG
rnacentral:rRNA from 1 species